AUUACAAUUUCAAUUUAAUUACUGAAAUUAUAAUUAACUUCACGAGGGUCAGAAUAAUCGAUUUUAAUUUUCUUUUUUUUUAAUCAUUUUUCCGUAAAAAUUUCUGCACUAAAUUAAUGAACAUUAAUUUCAAUCUAAAUUCAAUUUUUAUAAUAUGUAUUUAUUCAUAUGUUAUAUUUAGAAAUCAUAAAACUAUAAAUCAGGACAUAAUUAAAGUUUAUUUGAAGUUGAAUGACCCCGAAAGAAGUAUUACUUCAUAUGCGUGUACUCAUAACACAAUUUAAUUGGAAUUUCUUUUAUUUGAAAUUAAUUAAUUUAAUACAUUUAAAAUAAAAAUACCUUAAUAAUUAAGGUAUAAUUUUCGAAAAUACAGUACUAAAUUAUUAUAUAAAAUAUAUUUUACGCCCGACCAUAGCCAACUGUAGCGCUCGAUAAUCUGUUUUUUUUUUUGACCAUUUAUAAAGAAGAUUCAUUUCAUUAAUAUUAUAAUUUCAAAUUUGUUAACUGGAAUGAGUAUUUCAUUACUUUAUAUUUAAAGAUGUCACGUGAUAACUAAAAAAAAUUAAAAUAAAAUUGUAUUACAUAUAAGCGCUUAUGAAGUGAAACUUCUUUCAGAGUCAUUCAACUUCAAAUAUAUUCUAAUUUAUAAAAUUGCUAUUUACCGAAAAUUCAUUAGAAAAGCUAUUUUUUUGCAUUUUUAUCGUAAUCUAAUUAUAUCGUAAAUUAAUCUAUUAGUAAUCUAAUAGUAUCUAUGGUAAUUUAAGCUACACCCGAUGAACAAUAUGCACAUUGCUUGAACUUACACAACUUUUGAAUGAAGCUUAUAUGAAGGAAAUUUCUCUGUUUUAAGACAAUAGUAAAUUUUUAAUGUUGCAAAUGUAUGCCUCAACAUAUUUAUUGAAAGUGUUAAAUAGCUUUGUUGCGUAUAUAGUUAUAUGGUACCUUGUUUGUGACCGCCCCAUCAAGAUGUGAUUGACCGCUGAUAAAAUAAUUAAAACGAGUUCCAUGGGACUCUUUAAAACGCGUCAUUAGUAUUUCUAUUCGCAAUUAAAACGCUCGGUCUAAUAUCGUCAAUAUUGUAUUGAAUGAUAUAUCAUCAUUUCAUUUUCUUUUUUUAUUAUUUUGUGCUAUUUUGAAGCACCGCAAAGAGGUAUACGCGCCUACCUUCGCAUACGCCGAAAAUUCGCCAUCGCCGAGACGAUAACUUUUCCACGCUGUGGAACGCCUUCUGCAACAAGUCUUGUAACUCGCAAUCCAGCCAUAAUCAGGUCACUAUCAUUUAUUGGAUCUAAAGGUCGUCUUUAUUUUGUUAUUUUACGUUAAUGCUAAAUUAUAAGUUCAUGUAAUCAUGUAUAUAUUUUAGUCUAGUUAAG